AACAGCAGGAUGUGGGUGGGGCCAGAUAAGAGAAUAAAAGCAGGCUGCCUGAGCCAGUAGUGGCAACCCGCUUGAGUCAGCUUCUGCAUUGUGGAAGGUUUGUUCUUUCUCUCUUUGCAGUAAAUCUUACUGCUGCUCACUUCUUGGGUCCACACUGCGUUUAUUAGCUGCAACGCUCACUACUAUGGUCUGCAGCUUCACUCCUGAAGCCAGUGAGACCACGAACCCACCAGAAUGAAGAAACUCCGAACACAUCCGAACAUCAGAAGGAACAAACUCCGGACAGGCGGCCUUUAAGAACUGUAACGCUCACCUCGAGGGUCUGCGGCUUCAUUCUUGAAGUCAGUGAGACCAAGAACCCACCAAUUCCGGACACAAUGUUACCCCAGAUAAUCAGCGCCAUUUUCUGAAGCUUGAGAUGCAGGAAAAGAGGAGUGCUAUCCAUUAGAUGGAGACAGGAAGUAGAAAAAGCACUUGGGCAAACAGCUGAUAGGAGUUCAUUUUGUGAAGCUGUGACGAGUUUUCCAGUAGACCAUGAGCUUGCUGAUGGCAGGAGCCUGCCUGUCCUUGAUCCUUGUUUCUGUGGGGUCUGUCCCAGUGCCUGGCACAGUGGCUUUGGAGAUGGAAGGAAUAGAGGGAGAGCAGAUCCUCAAACACAGCCUGCAUCUCUCCCUGCUCCCCUCCCACCCUCCAGUUUUCCAGCCAGAGGCAUUUGCUCUAAGGCCCAGGCUGUGGCCCACCUAUCACCGCUACCCAAGUAGUACAGGUAUGAUUGUCUGUUUACUUUCUUUAAUUCAAAUCACACUAGAGAAAUUUCAGGACUCACUCACUGAUAAAUCAUGGUUACUUACCUCUUGUCUAGGCCCUUGGGCAAGGGUGCAUUGAUGCAUCUACUAUGAUUGCCUGGUUAUCUUGGUCUUGGAAGCACCUAGUAAUGAAAGAACCCAGAGAAAGAUAAACAGAGCCAAGGGAGCCAAGGUUAAUCUUUCUGAGCCUAUUUCUUCCUUUAUGUAACUGGAAUAUUGUUUCCUGCCCCACCUACUUCACAAGGCUGAAAUGAGGAUUAAGCAAGUUAAUGGCUCUCAAGGUCCACCAGGAAGGAUGGAGUUCUAGAUACAUAUUGGGUUCCUCUAGUCCUUACAUAUUGCAAAAGACUUGGGUAAAGCUUCUGGAAGAGCUAGGCUGACCAAUCUUCCUGACUUACCCAGGACUGAGGGAUUCCUUGGGAUGCCGGAAUUUCUGUACUAAAACCAGGAAAAUACAAGGCAAACCUGGUUGAGGUUGAGUUGGUCACUCUACACAGAGGUAGCACUUAACCAGUGUCUGUCCUGGGCUAUAAUGGUGUCCCUCCAAAACUCAUGUUGAAGCCCCAGUACUUUAGAAUGUGACUGUAUUCGAAGAUGGGGCAUUGAAAAGAGGUGAUUAAGUUAAAAGGAGGCCAUCAGGGUGGGCUCUAUUCCAAUCUGACUGGUGUCCUUACAGGAAGAGGAAAUUUGAAGAGGAAAAGAGGCACCAGGGAUGAGGACACACCGAGAAAAGACCAUGUGAAGACAUGGUGAGAAGACAGCCAGCUGCAAGCCAAGGAGUGAGGCCUCAGAAGAAACCAACCCUGCCGAUACCUUGACCUUGGACUUCUAGUCUCCAGAAUUAUGCGAAAAUAAAUUCCUGUUGUUUAAG
ensembl:lincRNA